rnacentral:tRNA from 1 species
GAUGAACCUUAAAAAGUUCUUUAAACA